rfam:Fusarium graminearum chromosome 2, complete genome
GGCCGCGUGGCCUAAUGGCUAAGGCGCUAGAUUUCGGCUUCAUCUUCUGAAUACUCUAGAGAUUCCAGGUUCGACUCCUGGCGUGGUCG